rnacentral:rRNA from 1 species
UACAGAGGGUGCGAGCGUUGUUCGGAAUCAUUGGGCGUAAAGCGCUUGUAGGCGGCUUGUUAAGUCGCGUGUGAAAUCCCUUGGCUCAACCAAGGAAGUGCGCGCGAAACUGGCGAGCUGGAGUGCCGGAGAGGGUCGCGGAAUUCCCGGUGUAGAGGUGAAAUUCGUAGAUAUCGGGAGGAACACCAGUGGCGAAGGCGGCGACCUGGACGGACACUGACGCUGAGACGCGAAAGCGUGGGGAG